rnacentral:lncRNA from 1 species
CGAGCCUGGGGGUCUGGGGCACACGCCCCUCACCUGGAAACCCCGUCCCUUCUCUCUUCCUGCUGGGCAGGCCGCCCAGGACUCAGCCAGUCGGGCACAUUGUCCUGGAUUAUCCAGGUGAACUCCACCUCAGGAGCCCUAAAAAGCAGAAGUGGAGGGCAGAAAAGAAGAGACAUGCCAGCUCGGGGAAGAGGGUCCUGCUCCAACGGGAACAACGCAUUACAAACGCUGGAGGGAAACAGGGUUUUGAGCCCCUAGGAAAACAAACCGUACAGUCGCCAAAUAAGAGAAGAUCUGCUGACAUUUUGAAUGCAGAACAGAGCAGCGAAAAAAGCAGUUGAUGCAGAAAAAAAAUUUAUACCUAUCAUACACUGUAUUUAUAAGACCCCAAAAUAACGCUGGAUCCUGUGCAGAAUAAAUGGAGCCCUGCCACCCCAGGGCCUGACAGCAUUCCCAACACAGAUGCCAGGAGAACAGUUCAUGGAUAACAACCAUGAUGCUGAAGCUGACAGUGAUACAGGUGUAAGACCAUUUUUUAUUUCACUGAUUUCCACUUUAAGUUGCAUAAGCUUUAGAAGUGGGGGCCUCAGUGUCCCCAUCAGCAAAAUUAGGGGAUGCUAGUUUCCUGCUCUCUCUUACCUCAGUAGCUUAGUAGUUGAUACAUAGGCACUAUGCCAUUCAGUGGACACGGAAAUCUCAUUUAACUCUAAACAACCUCAUGAAGUAGGACCACUAUCCCCUUUUAACAAAUCAGAAAGCUGAGAUGCAAGACCUUAAUGAGAUUUCUCUAGAUCAAGAAGUCACCACUUUGCAGAGCAAAGCCAAUGGCCACUGUGGUCCAUCCCCCAGCAUGCAGACUGGACCCCAUCCUCCCUCCCUCCAGGUUAGGAGUGGGGAGGGGACCCAGGGGAGAGCAGCGUUCUG